GACGAACGCUGGCGGCGUGCCUAAUACAUGCAAGUUGAGCGCUGAAGGUUGGUACUUGUACCAACUGGAUGAGCAGCGAACGGGUGAGUAACGCGUGGGGAAUCUGCCUUUGAGCGGGGGACAACAUUUGGAAACGAAUGCUAAUACCGCAUAAAAACUUUAAACACAAGUUUUAAGUUUGGAAGAUGCAAUUGCAUCACUCAAAGAUGAUCCCGCGUUGUAUUAGCUAGUUGGUGAGGUAAAGGCUCACCAAGGCGAUGAUACAUAGCCGACCUGAGAGGGUGAUCGGCCACAUUGGGACUGAGACACGGCCCAAACUCCUACGGGAGGCAGCAGUAGGGAAUCUUCGGCAAUGGACGAAAGUCUGACCGAGCAACGCCGCGUGAGUGAAGAAGGGUUUCGGAUCGUAAAACUCGGUUGGUAGAGAAGAACGUUGGUGAGAGUGGAAAGCUCAUCAAGUGACGGUAACUACCCAGAAAGGGACGGCUAACUACGUG
rnacentral:rRNA from 1 species